rnacentral:rRNA from 1 species
GUGGGGAAUAUUGCGCAAUGGGGGAAACCCUGACGCAGCAACGCCGCGUGAAUGAAGAAGGCCUUAGGGUUGUAAAGUUCUGUUUACGGGGACGAUAAUGACGGUACCCGUGGAGGAAGCCACGGCUAACUACGUGCCAGCAGCCGCGGUAAUACGUAGGUGGCAAGCGUUGUCCGGAUUUACUGGGCGUAAAGGAUGCGUAGGCGGAUGUUUAAGUGAGAUGUGAAAUACCCGGGCUCAACUUGGGUGCUGCAUUUCAAACUGGACAUCUAGAGUGCGGGAGAGGAAAGCGGAAUUCCUAGUGUAGCGGUGAAAUGCGUAGAGAUUAGGAAGAACACCAGUGGCGAAGGCGGCUUUCUGGACCGUAACUGACGCUGAGGCAUGAAAGCGUGGGGAGCAAACAGG